rnacentral:rRNA from 1 species
AUUGAACGCUGGCGGCGUGCUUAACACAUGCAAGUCGUGCGGUAACAGGGCGUAGCAAUACGUGCUGACGAGCGGCGAACGGGUGCGUAAUACAUGGGAAUCUGCCUUUUAGUGGGGAAUAACCCGGCGAAAGCCGGGCUAAUGCCGCAUAAGAUCUUCGGAUGAAAGCGGGGGAUCGUAAGACCUCGCGCUGAUAGAUGAGCCCAUGCCGGAUUAGCUAGNGGUGAGGUAACGGCUCACCAAGGCGACGAUCCGUAGCUGGUCUGAGAGGACGGCCAGCCACACUGGGACUGAGACACGGCCCAGACUCCUACGGGAGGCAGCAGUGGGGAAUAUUGGACAAUGGGGAAACCCUGAUCCCAGCGACGCCGCGUGUGUGAAGAAGGCCUGCGGGUUGUAAAGC